UACGUAGGGGGCAAGCGUUGUCCGGAUUCAUUGGGCGUAAAGAGCGUGUAGGCGGCCAGGUAGGUCGGUUGUGAAAACUGGAGGCUCAACCUUCAGAGGUCGACCGAAACCAUCUGGCUAGAGUCCGGGAGAGGAGAGUGGAAUUCCUGGUGUAGCGGUGAAAUGCGCAGAUAUCAGGAAGAACACCCGUGGCGAAAGCGGCUCCCUGGAACGGUACUGACGCUGAGACGCGAAAGCGUGGGGAGCGAACAGG
rnacentral:rRNA from 1 species